GUUCUCCCUGACCCUUUAAGGGUCCUGAAGGAACGUUGAAGACGACGACGUUGAUAGGCCGGGUGUGUAAGCGCAGCGAUGCGUUGAGCUAACCGGUACUAAUGAACCGUGAGGCUUAACCUUACAACGCCGAAG
rnacentral:rRNA from 1 species